rnacentral:rRNA from 1 species
UUGAUGAACGCUGGCGGAUGCCUCAACACAUGCAAGUCGAACGGUAACAGAACCAGCUUGCUGGUUGCUGACGAGUGGCGGACGGGUGAGGAAUAUAUAGGAACUUGCCUGAUAGUGGGGGAUAACCUGUGGAAACGCAGGCUAAUACCGCAUAUCCUCUACGGAGGAAAGCAGGGGAUCUUCGGACCUUGCGCUAUCAGAUAGGCCUAUAUUGGAUUAGCUUGUUGGUAAGGUAAUGGCUUACCAAGGCAACGAUCCAUAGCUGGUUUGAGAGAAUGAUCAGCCACACUGGGACUGAGACACGGCCCAGACUCCUACGGGAGGCAGCAGUGGGGAAUAUUGCACAAUGGAGGAAACUCUGAUGCAGCAAUGCCGCGUGUAUGAAGAAGGCCUUCGGGUUGUAAAGUACUUUCAAUGGGGAGGAAAUGCUUUGUCCUAAUAUGGCAAAGCUAUGACGUUACCUAUAGAAGAAGAACCGGCUAACUCCGUGCCAGCAGCCGAGGUAAUACGGAGGGUUCGAGCGUUAAUCGGAAUUACUGGGCGUAAAGCGCGCGUAUGCGGUUAGCUAAGUCAGAUUGUGAAAUCCUGAGCUUACCUAGAACUGAUUUGGAAAUAAUAAGGUAGAGUAGGUACAGGUGAGUGGACUCCACC